AAAUAGGUUAGGUUAGAGUCAAAUUAACAUGCAGAAACUAUAGUUCUCGUGCUUAUAGUCAUGAGAAUAAAGUGCCAUAUUGCAAUGAUAAGAACGAUUUCUCCACACCCUGAUAUAAGACUCUUGAAUUAUUAUUUAAUGUAAACAAACGGUUGAUCGUGCAAAAGAGUAAAAUGGCUGUUAGUUCGCUUGUCAAUCUGGCAGAACACUGACAAUAAUGUGAGAAGUGGAUAUCAUUGUACGCCCACAUGCUUAUUGAAAGCCGAUAAGAACGUACUGAAUUUCUUGUUAAGUUCUACUGCAUGUGCCGUAUAUCAUCCACGAUGAGUAUUUUGAGAAGAAGAUUAAAUGAAUUUGAUGAUAUUUUGAAUGCUGAAGAAAUAGAUCUCAUCAGUCUCAAACGACUAUGCUUCCAUGGAAUACCAGAUGAAGGAGGUUUAAGACCUUUAUGUUGGAAACUUUUAUUAAAUUAUUUACCUUCAACAAGACUCAGUUGGUCAGAAACACUUACACGUAAAAGAACACUUUAUAAAACCUUUAUUGAGGAUCUCAUUGUCACUCCAGGUGAAGCAAAUAGUGAUGGUGAACGUGUAGAUGUUACACUUCAUGAUCAUCCUUUAAACUUAAAUCCUGAUAGUAAAUGGCAAACCUAUUUUAAGGAUAAUGAAGUUCUUCUACAAAUAGACAAAGAUGUUAGGAGAUUAUGCCCAGACAUAUCAUUUUUUCAACAAGGUACGGAUUAUCCUCGAGAAGAGAUUGUAAAUGCUAGUGGACAAAAACGUUUACAUUCUAGAGUACAACAUACAGUUUUAAGAAGUGCAAAUGUUGAAAGAAAGGGACUUGGUGUUACUAAGAUAGCAGUUUCUAUCAGAAAAGCUGCAGAAGAUUAUGCACCACUUGCAGAAGGUGGUGAAGCACAUUGGGAAGUUUUAGAAAGAAUACUUUUUCUUUAUGCUAAAUUAAAUCCAGGACAGGGCUAUGUGCAAGGCAUGAAUGAAAUUGUUGGUCCUAUUUAUCAUGCAUUUGCUUGUGAUCCAGAUCAAAAAUGGAGAGAACAUGCAGAAGCAGAUACUUUUUUUUGCUUUACGAAUUUGAUGAGUGAAAUUCGUGAUUUUUUCAUAAAAUCGUUAGAUGAAGCCGAAUUUGGAAUAAAUUCGAUGAUGAGUAAACUUACAGCUCAAGUUAAAGCUAAUGACCCUGAAAUUUGGAUGCGUUUACAUCAACAAGAAUUAUGUCCACAAUAUUAUAGUUUUAGAUGGUUAACACUUCUUUUAUCACAAGAAUUUCCAUUACCUGAUGUUAUGAGGAUUUGGGAUUCUCUUUUUGCUGAUGAAAACAGAUUCAGCUUUUUGAUACAUAUUUGUUGUGCCAUGAUUUUACUCUUAAGGGACCAAUUACUUGCUGGUGAUUUCGCUACAAAUGUUAAACUUUUACAAAAUUUUCCUUCAACGGAUAUUCAAAUAGUACUUUCUAAGGCAGCUGCAUUGGCAGGCAAAAGUUUGAAUUCACCAUAAUUCUACAUAAUUUUUCAUGUACAGCUUCGUUCGACUCAAAAACAUAAACGAAACGUCUGAAACAUCUUUUAAAGGCCUGAAUAUUCUUCCGCGAACGCGAAGAUUAUUAGAACUAAAAAUUGUUCUAAAUAGUUCGGACAGAAAUAUAUGUAUCAUAUAUAUUGUAACAUGAUAUUGUGUGUAAAAACUGUUAAAAAGUAAAAUGAUUUUACACAAUGUUUUAUAUUCCCGAGAUAUAAAAUUUCUCCAAAUUUCUCUUGUAUAUUGGAGACCGGGAUUAAUAAGAUAUGAAUUUAGCUCUCUGUUUCUUUAUUUACAACAAGAAAAAAAUCUCAACCCUUAAC
rnacentral:misc_RNA from 1 species